ensembl:snoRNA
UCUUAGUGAUGAAAAAACUUUGUCCAGUUCUGCUACUGACUUUAAGUGAUGAUAAACUAUGUCUCAGGGGA